rnacentral:rRNA from 1 species
UUUUUAAAACUUGACCCCCUUUUGACGGGGGGAAACCUUUGGAAAACCGGGUUUAAAUCCCGUUAACAAUGGGCCACCCCAUGGUUGCUACUUAAAAGAUGGUUCUGCUAUCACUAAGAGAUGGUCCCGCGGUGCAUUAAGUUAGUUGGUGAGGUAAUGGCUCACCAAGACGAUGAUGCAUAGCCGAGUUGAGAGACUGAUCGGCCCACAAUGGGACUGAGACACGGCCCAUACUCCUACGGGAGGCAGCAGUAGGGAAUCUUCCACAAUGGGCGAAAGCCUGAUGGAGCAACGCCGCGUGUGUGAUGAAGGGUUUCGGCUCGUAAAACACUGUUGUAAGAGAAGAAUGACAUUGAGAGUAACUGUUCAAUGUGUGACGGUAUCUUACCAGAAAGGAACGGCUAAAUACGUGCCAGCAGCCGCGGUAAUACGUAUGUUCCAAGCGUUAUCCGGAUUUAUUGGGCGUAAAGCGAGCGCAGACGGUUAUUUAAGUCUGAAGUGAAAGCCCUCAGCUCAACUGAGGAAUUGCUUUGGAAACUGGAUGACUUGAGUGCAGUAGAGGAAAGUGGAACUCCAUGUGUAGCGGUGAAAUGCGUAGAUAUAUGGAAGAACACCAGUGGCGAAGGCGGCUUUCUGGACUGUAACUGACGUUGAGGCUCGAAAGUGUGGGUAGCAAACAGGAUUAGAUACCCUGGUAGUCCACACCGUAAACGAUGAGUGCUAGGUGUUUGAGGGUUUCCGCCCUUAAGUGCCGCAGCUAACGCAUUAAGCACUCCGCCUGGGGAGUACGACCGCAAGGUUGAAACUCAAAGGAAUUGACGGGGACCCGCACAAGCGGUGGAGCAUGUGGUUUAAUUCGAAGCAACGCGAAGAACCUUACCAGGUCUUGACAUCCCUUGACAACUCCAGAGAUGGAGCGUUCCCUUCGGGGACAAGGUGACAGGUGGUGCAUGGUUGUCGUCAGCUCGUGUCGUGAGAUGUUGGGUUAAGUCCCGCAACGAGCGCAACCCUUAUUACUAGUUGCCAGCAUUCAGUUGGGCACUCUAGUGAGACUGCCGGUGACAAACCGGAGGAAGGUGGGGAUGACGUCAAAUCAUCAUGCCCCUUAUGACCUGGGCUACACACGUGCUACAAUGGCGUAUACAACGAGUUGCCAACCCGCGAGGGUGAGCUAAUCUCUUAAAGUACGUCUCAGUUCGGAUUGUAGGCUGCAACUCGCCUACAUGAAGUCGGAAUCGCUAGUAAUCGCGGAUCAGCACGCCGCGGUGAAUACGUUCCCGGGUCUUGUACACACCGCCCGUCACACCAUGAGAGUUUGUAACACCCAAAGCCGGUGGGGUAACCUUCGGGAGCCAGCCGUCUAAGGUGGGACAGAUGAUUAGGGGGAAGUCGAACCAGUUAGG